GAAUCAGGCGUCGCUAAACGCUGAGCUACCCAGGCUGCCCUAAAUGAGAAAUCUAAAGAAACAGCACAAGCAGGGGGAGUGGCAGAGGGAGAAGGAAAAGUAGAUUCCUCACCGAGCAAGAAGCCGGACAAGGGGCUCAGGGUUCGAUUAUGGGACUGUGGGAUAAUGACCUGAGCAGAAGGCAGAUGCUUACCCAACUGAGCCACUCAGGCACACCCUCCACACCCUCUCUGACACUGAGAUUAUUCUGGGUGCUGUGUUGAAGACCGCCUAGCCUGCUGGCUGGUGAGGAGGAGGAAGCAAGAGUACCAGCAGGGACACCACAGAGAAGACUAUUGCCAUAACCUAGGUGAGGAAUCACAGUGGCUUCUUCCAGAGUAUUUGGAAUAAAGGUGUGGUGAGAAACAGUCAAAUUAUGGGUGUAUUCUGACGGCAGAGCCUACAGGAUUUCCUAAUAGACUAUAUGUGGAUUGUGAAAGAAACAGGAAUCAAAGAUGACACUAAAUUUUCUGGCCUGAGCAAUUACAGAAUGAAGAUGUCUUAAGAGGCAAAGGACUGCAGAAGCUGUAAUACGCAAAAUUUUAUAAGUAAAGGCUUCCUUCCAGCUAUGUAAAAACAAUGUUGGGGAUCCCUGGGUGGCGCAGUGGUUUGGUGCCUGCCUUUGGCCCAGGGCGCGAUCCUGGAGACCCGGGAUCGAGUCCCACGUCGGGCUCCCGGUGCAUGGAGCCUGCUUCUCCCUCUGCCUGUGUCUCUGCCUCUCUCUCUCUCUCUGUGACUAUCAUAAAUAAAUAUUAAAAAACAAAAAAAACAAUGUUCACUGCUGUUAAAGGGUGCCCUGCCCCAAAAUCUGCCAUGGUCUUGGUGUUGCAUAUAUAUCUCUUUUAAGGAGGAAAAUGUCAUUAAAAUGUUAGACUAUAUAAUUAACUUCCUGCUUCCAACUCCAUGCUUAAAGUGUGAAAAAAUUGUAACUUGAUUUCCCACGUUCCUGACCUACCUGAAAAAUGUUUCUAGUCUUUUCUGUAUUUAUUAAAUUAGUUAAGCUACUUAAAAAAAAAAGAUUUAUUUAACAGAGAGAGAGAGAGCAAGAGCACAAUCAGGGGGAACUGCAGAGGGAGAGGGAGAUGCAGGCUCCCCACCAAGCAGGGAUCUCAAUGUGGGAUUCAAUCCCAGGACUCUGAGAUCAUGACCUGAGCUGAAGACAGAUGCUAGGCCAACUGAAUCACCCAUGUGCCCCAGUUACGCUACUUAUAUGUUAGCUUCAUUUGUCUAGCUACUGUAAGUUUGUCCCUGAGAGGGCAGCCCGGAUGGCUUAGUGGUUCAGUGCUGCCUUCAGCUCAGGGCGUGAUCCUGGAGACCAGAGAUUAAGUCUCACAUCAGGCUCCCUGCAUGGAGCUUGCUUCUCCCUCUGCCUGUGUCUCUGCCUUUCUCUCUUUCUUUCUGUGUCUCUCAUGAAUAAAUAAAUAAAAUUUAAAAAAAAAAAAAAUUUGUCCCUGAGAGAUUUGGUUUUAAUAUCCUAAUCAAUCAAGUUUCCAAGCUAAUAGGCAAAAGACUGAGAUUUGGACAGUGGUUCUCAAGUUGCACGGAAUUACGAAGUUUACUAAAAAUAGAUUCCUCAGCAGUGGUCUUCUAAAAUUCUGAUUCAGUUGGUCUAGGACAGAACCCAGAAAUCUGCUUUUGAAAGUAGCACACCAGGGGAUUCCUUGGUGGCUCAGUUUAGGGUCUGCCUUUGGCCCAGGGCAUAAUCCUGGAGUCCCAGGAUGGAGUCCCAUGUCAGGCUCCCUGCAUGGAGCCUGCUUCUCCCUCUGCCUAUGUCUUUGCCUCUCUCUCUGCGU